UUUUUAGUCGGCAAAGCGAACCAACGGGGUGGCUUCUUUGGGUAGACGUAUAAAUAAAGAUCGGGUGGCGCCGGGGGAGUCUGUUUGUUUCCUCCGGAGGGUAAAGGAAGGGGUAAGACAGUGAAUGGAGACUUGUCUUGCUGACCUCCGACAACGAACGCCGGCCGACCUACCCCACGACUUGCGCAAACCACCCCCAACCCCCGACGCCACUAUUUCAUAUCCACCGUCCUGUUAUUGCUCCCGUUCGGACAACAAAUACGUACAUAUUUCUCUCUUCUCUCGACACUUCGAACCAUGAUUUUCAUGAGAUGCAUGACAAACAAUGCAGUAAAAAAAGGUACAUCAACAAGCCGUCAUGUCACUACUUGUUUAACGUCUUUACACAAAGGAACAACCAGGACAUCAGGACUACACACGCUGUUAAAAAUACAACAGCUACAUCAGGUUGAUAAUGGGAGUGCGGGGAAAGGACAGGUGUCCAGUUCAUCGAUAUCCUGUCUUCCUGUUCUUAUUUUAGAGGAUUAGAAAACUUCAGGAGCAUGUGGUGGUCGAGAUGUGAACGCUGUAGAAAAAGCAGCAGUGUAUGUAUAUUGUAGCGUAUGUAAUUGUUAAGACGAAUAAAUAACACAAUAUAAC